CUCACUGGUCGAGUCGGCCUGCGCGGAAGAUGUAACGGGGCUAAACCAUGCACCGAAGCUGCGGCAGCGACACUAUGUGUUGUUGGGUAGGGGAGCGUUAUGUAAGCUUGCGAAGGUGACAUGUGAGGGUUGCUGGAGGUAUCAGAAGAGCGAAUGCUGACAUAAGAAACGAUAAAGCGGGUGAAAAGCCAGAUCGCGGGAAGACCAAGGGUUCCUGUCCAACGUAAAUCGGGGCAGGGUGAGUCGACACCUAAGGCGAGACCAAUAGGCGUAAUCGAUGGGAAACAGGAUACUAUUCAUGUACUUGGUGUUACUGCGAAG
rnacentral:rRNA from 1 species